GCGCAUUUAUUAUAAUAAAAACCAAUCGGGUUUCGGCCCGUAAUUUGGUGAAUCUGAAUAACUUUGCCAAUCGCACAGUCCUAGUACUGGCGAUGUAUCUUUCAAGUGUCUGCCUUAUCAACUUUCGAUGGUAGGUUAUACCCCUACCAUGGUAGUAACGGGUAACGGAGAAUAAGGGUUCCACUCCGGAGAGGGAGCCUGAGAAACGGCUACCACAUCCAAGGAAGGCAGCAGGCGCGCAAAUUACCCACUUCCAGAACGGAGAGGUAGUGACGAAAAAUAACGAGACAGUCCUCUUCGAGGUCUGUCAUCGGAAUGGGUACAAUUUAAAUCCUUUAACGAGGAUCUAUUGGAGGGCAAGUCUGGUGCCAGCAGCCGCGGUAAUUCCAGCU
rnacentral:rRNA from 1 species